rnacentral:rRNA from 1 species
GGGGGCCUGCGGAAGGAUCAUUACCGAGUGUAGGGUUCCUAGCGAGCCCAACCUCCCACCCGUGUUUACUGUACCUUAGUUGCUUCGGCGGGCCCGCCAUUCAUGGCCGCCGGGGGCUCUCAGCCCCGGGCCCGCGCCCGCCGGAGACACCACGAACUCUGUCUGAUCUAGUGAAGUCUGAGUUGAUUGUAUCGCAAUCAGUUAAAACUUUCAACAAUGGAUCUCUUGGUUCCGGCAUCGAUGAAGAACGCAGCGAAAUGCGAUAACUAGUGUGAAUUGCAGAAUUCCGUGAAUCAUCGAGUCUUUGAACGCACAUUGCGCCCCCUGGUAUUCCGGGGGGCAUGCCUGUCCGAGCGUCAUUGCUGCCCAUCAAGCACGGCUUGUGUGUUGGGUCGUCGUCCCCUCUCCGGGGGGGACGGGCCCCAAAGGCAGCGGCGGCACCGCGUCCGAUCCUCGAGCGUAUGGGGCUUUGUCACCCGCUCUGUAGGCCCGGCCGGCGCUUGCCGAACGCAAAUCAAUCUUUUUCCAGGUUGACCUCGGAUCAGGUAGGGAUACCCGCUGAACUUAACAUAUCAAAA